AAGAUGAAGUCCUUCGGGUUGUAAAAGGCUUUUGUCCGGAACGAAAAAGGUCUAUACUGAUAAAGAGGGCUAAUGACGGUACCGUAAGAAUAAGCACCGGCUAGUUACGUGCCAGCAGCCGCGGUAAUACGUAGGGUGCAAGCGUUAAUCGGAAUUACUGGGCGUAAAGCGUGCGCAGGCGGUUAUGUAAGACAGUUGUGAAAUCCCCGGUCUCGACCUGGGAACUGCAUUUGUGACUGCAUAGCUAGAGUACGGUAGAUGGGGAUGGAAUGCCCUAAGAAAUUUGGUGAAAUGCGUAGAUAUGCGGAGGACCCCCGAUGGCGAAGGCAAUUUUCCUGCCCCUAUGCUAUCGCUAGGGGUUAUUUAGCCAAACUGCCUUCUCUCCCCUCAGAGAGGGCUACCCUCCACGCAAACUUAGUGGUGUUCGCACAAACUCAAAGGAAUGACGGAAACUUAAAGGAAUGACGA
rnacentral:rRNA from 1 species